rnacentral:lncRNA from 10 species
UUUUUAAAUCUCAAGCACUGAUUUGGUUAGAAACACAGUUAAUAUUUUAUUAUAAUUCACUACCAAGCAGUGGGUUCCAAGUAGCUAUGUGACUUCUGGUUAAGCGGCUUAGCCUUUCUGAGCCUCAGUUUCCUCAUCUGUAUGAUGACAGGUCUGUUAUGCAAAACAUCUAGGACAAUACCACCACACUGCAUACAGCUGACCGGUAAGGAAGGGUCAAGAACCUCAUUUCUGUCAUUCACAGCGGCCGUGGCUGUCAAGUGACAGUCAAAUCCCAAACCAUAACCCAAUGCCCAGACCUCUAUAAACAAUCCGUAAAUGCCAGUCCUGUAGUCAUACCCAGCAAGUGCAUAUAACUUCUCCAGUUACACGACUUUACAUGUAUUCUCUCACUUAAUUCUCAGGACUAGCCCUGGAAUUCAAAAUCAGCCUAGUUUUACAGGUUAAAAAAAAACUCAUUUCCAAUGUGGUGGUGACACCCAAAGGUCUCAUAACCACCAGUGGCAGCGGGGGGGUCUGCGAGCCCAAGUGUAGGUUCUAACUCCUGUGGCAGCAGGGUGGGGACUGUGAGCCGAAGUGUGGGUUCUAACUCCUGUGGCUCUUCUAUGCCCGGGUAAUUGGUGUCGUGGUGGAUGGGUGCUGUGGCGGUGGCUGCUGGUGUUCCCUAGGUGCCAGGCGCCAUGCUGGGUAGCUCAGCUUUAUCAGCCCACGGAAGCCCAUGACAACACUAGAAGGCAGGCACAUAUUCCUAGGCUCCUUUAAGCAGUGUACAUGGCACCCAAUGUGUAGCCUUUUACCCCUCACCCCCUCCCACCCUUCCCCCGCAGUCCCAAGAGUCCUUUUGUUUAUUUCAGACUUUCUAAAUCUCAGAUAAAGAAUUUAAAAAUAAAAGCAAAAACUAUUUCCUUUAAGCUUUCUCCACAAAUUGAUUUGGAACAUUGACUCUUCCUUCACAAAAGUCUGUGCCGUCUGUGAGUUUGUGAGUCUGUGAGUUUGUUGUUCACUCUGCCAUCCACUGCCCUUCUCAGAGUGGGCUGCCAAAGCACUCCUGUAAUGUCCCACUGGUCCAAGAGGGGGCGCUGGUGAGUCCUCUGGUGCCCGUGGUCAUCAGGGAGAGAAAGGGGGCUUUGCGGUCUGGGGUCAGGUACGGUCCCAACCACGGCUUCACUGUACUAUCAACAAAGCUGGGUGGUGGGUUCACAGAGGUUCAUUACAGCAAUCCCUCUACCUUUGUAUAUGCUUGAAAACGUGUGUAAUGAAAGUUAAAAUGUUUAAAACAAUACUUUAGCAGAAAAAAAAAAAUCAUCGGCUUACACUUCCUGUGUGAUCUUGAACAAGUGACCUAACCUCUCUGGGCUUCAAAUGUUUCACCUAAAAGAGCUGGUCUAAAGGUAAAUGGGUAUGCCAUGCUCAAUACACAUUACCUCUUGGUUUUUUUUUUUCUUCCCUGAGAUGGAGUCUCACUCUGUUGCCCAGGCUGAAGUGCAGUGAUGCAAUCUCAGCUCACUGCAACCUCCGCCUCCCGAGUUCAAGCGAUUCUCCUGCCUCAGCCUCCCAAGUAGCUGGGAUUAAAGGUGCCCGCCAUGACACAUUACUUUUUAUUAGAGAAUUAAAUGUGUGAUGUGAUACCUGGCACACAAGAGGUAUUCAAGAAAUGGCAGCCAUUAUCACUGCCAUUGCUCCUAGGCAAACAUAAAUCACACCCUCAUUUCCAAGAGGCUGAGUAGAGAGGGCGAUCUGAGGAGCUGGACAGGAUGAUACGAACUCUACACAUUUACUCUAAAGAGGUUAAAGUCUCUGCCCUAACCCACUGCCCAAUUCUUCAUCCUGCCUUCCUUCCAAAGCCACUGGCUAAGGUGAGGUGUAGUGGUGGACACAGACCUGUAUAGGAAAGGAGUGGACUGUGGGCCUGGCCCUUAUCUUACUGGAUGGAAAUGUGGGAGAGCAGAGGCUUGUUCACUUUGUCUUUAGCAUCUAGAAUCUGUCUGGACCAUCGUAGGUACUCAAUCAAUAGCUAUGUGGCAAAUGAGUAUGCCAGUGGGGUAACCCUGGGCAAGUCCCUUCACCACACUGGGUUGGUCCCAAUGUCCUGUGAGAUAACAGGGCUAGGUGAACUAAUUCCUCAGUUCCUGGCUAGUGCUCCAGGCUGAGAUUCUCUGUCUGGUGAACUUGAUUUCAUCACGUGGCAGAUGUUACCCAGGGUAGAUCCCUCCCGGGGUCUUGCUAACCUGACAAAUGAAAGCGAAAGCUUGCCUUCCAACCCACUUAGAACAGUGCCGGAACCUUAUGAUGAGCUCAUUGAUGAAAUUUAAC